CGCGGUAUUUUGACUGUGCGAAGGUAGCAUAAUCAUUUGUCUUUUAAUUGAAGACUUGUAUGAAUGGCUGAACGAGAAAAUAACUGUCUCUUUAAAAAAUCUUGAAUUUUACUUUUAAGUGAAAAGGCUUAAAUAAUUUUAAGGGACGAUAAGACCCUAUAAAUCUUUAUAUUAUUUUUCUUUAACUUUCAAAUUAUAUAUUAAAAAAAGAAAAGAAAAAAAUAUUAUAUUGGGGAGAUAAAAAUAUAAUUUUUAACUGUUUUAAAGAUAAAACAAUAAUUUUUGAUUUAUUAAAAUGAUCCUUUUUAAAGAUUUUAAGAUUAAGUUACUUUAGGGAUAACAGCGUAAUUUUUUUUGAGAGUUCUUAUCGAAAAAAAAGUUUGCGACCUCGAUGUUGAAUUAAAAUAUCCAUAUAAGUGCAGAAGCUAUAAAGGAAAGUCUGUUCGACUUUUAAAAUUUUACAU
rnacentral:rRNA from 1 species